AUACAAUAUGCAAGUUUAUUGGAAACUAGCAUCAAUGAUCUGGCUGCUUAAGUCACCUGUUGCCUGUUAGUGGUACUGCAGUAUUCCUCUUUGGUGAUGGUUAAAGAGUGGUUGAUCCAGUGAGAACCUGUUAUUUUUUAGUUUUGCGGGUUUUCGAUGAGCACAUAUUAGCUACUGUUUUGUGUGUCAGUUUGGUGGCUACCUUCUGUGUCUUCACUUUUAAGGAUUUCAGUGCUCAUUGUAGGUUGUUUAGAAUUGCAUUGGUUGUAUUUUCCCGCGAUUUCUAUGCCAGGUGGAAAUUUGU
rnacentral:lncRNA from 1 species